GUUGGACUUCAAGAAGCGCAUCUGGGCAACCAGUUUGCCUUCUACCAGCCCUAGGCUGUUACUGUGAGAAAAUUAGAGUGUUUCAAGCAGGCUUUUGCAGGAAUACAUUAGCAUGGAAUAACGAAUGUGUCUACAAUUUGGUUGAUUGUAGGUUACAAUUAAUAGGGACAGUUGGGGGGCAUUAGUAUUUAAUAGUCAGAGGUGAAAUUCUUGGAUUUGUUAAAGACUAACGUAUGCGAAAGCAUUUGCCAAGGAUGUUUUCAUUAAUCAAGAACGAAAGAUAGGGGAUCAAAGACGAUCAGAUACCGUCGUAGUCCUAUCUAUAAACUAUGCCGACUAGGGAUUAGUGCGGUCAGUACCGCAUUAGUACCUUAUGAGAAAUCAAAGUCUUUGGGUUCUGGGG
rnacentral:rRNA from 1 species